AAAAAUAGAAUCAGGGCUGAGAAACCCUUGUCCCAGCCUGAUGAGCUGUGGAGGAUGGGCUGAGUUAAGAGUAUUUUGUAGCCUCAAGGGAGAUGCGUUCUUCGCUAAGGGUUUGCAGAAGGUGCAGAAGGUAUUGUUCUCAGCCCACGGUGUGUGUUUUGUCGACCUUGAGUGCGUUUUUCAGCAAGAAGGAAAGGCAUUUUGCCUGAUAAAUGGAAUCAGAGCUCAGUCUCUAGCUCCCAGGCCCCCUAGCGGUUGUCUUUUGCAAUUAAAAAGAUGAAGUGACUUGAAGUCAGCAGCAGGCGCUUUGGGUAAUGAUCGCAGGUGACUAGAGUGUGCCUUUGAGGCUGGCUCCCCCGGACUUCAUCAAAGCUCAGGGGAAAAGCCUUGAAAAUCAGGAGCUCCAGAGGGACAGACACAUUUCCUCACAGAACGUGGGAGAGGAAGGCAGGAACCUUCCAAUGUGGAUGGUGAAGAGCUUGUUCUGUGGCCAAACUUCUGAACCAAUGUCCUAGAAUCCAUGGAUGUGCCUCAUGGGUCUGCCCACCGCUCCUUUAAAAUGACAGACCCCUGGAAGUCUGAAGUUUCAUUAUAACUGGUAAGAUUUUCUUCUACCUUGACCAAGGGAAGCAAGCUUGGGAUUGAAUCCUGAGAAGCCCGACAUUGAGGGAACAGGUAGAUGAAGAGGAAUUGCUUAGGAAGUUAGGAGAAAAGCUGGUUUUCCUGCUGUGGAGACUCAGAGAAAUGACUGUACUAAAAUAGGUAGUGAGCACCUCAUUGUGAACAGUAGCCGUGUUCCUAUUGUGAUCAUUAUGAGUGGCAAUUUUUAAAUGAAGAAUACAUGCUAUCUUAGACAAGCAGGAGAGGCCCGUGGAGUGUCAUCACAGAGGUCUCUCCCAGGAGUCAUUUUCCCCCACCUUUGGAAGAAGGAUCGAAGGUCCCCCCACUGUGUGGAAUGAAGUGCUUAUUUGCAGAAUUAACUCACGAAAGAGUUAAGUUCGGACGAAAUGGUCUGUUUACUGAAGUGUUGCAUUUUCUUCUGAGUGGUGAGGCUCCAAUAUGGCUCUGAAAGCCACUGAGAAGACCUAAUGCAUCUGAGGACCUAGCUUCUGGCCUGGCUCUUACAUGGUCAGGAGCUGUGCGUCCAUCCACCCACCCCCACCCUCUGCCCUCCUGCCCCCUGCCACUCUAGUUUCCCUUGUCCUUUCUGUGGCUCUUCUGGUCUCCUCUUGUUCAGUUCCUAGGUGUACGGAGCCUAUGUCAAUGGCAAUGGUGAGGUAAGUGAGAAGAACUGGAGAAAGUUAAAAAGCGUCUUCAAGGAAAAAACCUGGGAAUAAAAUCUUCCAGUUCUCCUGCUUUACUUUUCCGUAACCUUCCCCACUUCCUUCCUAACAUGCUUCCAGAAGCAGGCGCCUAGUCAUUCAUACCCAUGGAGCUGCUCUUGGCUAAGUAAGCCUAGCUGAGGAGAUGCUGAGGGCAGGUGCGGUGGGAGAUGGAGCAGCACAUUGCUUCCUGGGAGAGAACACCUCCUUGCCUCUGUCACCAGGCCAGAGUGCAGUGGUGUGAUCUCGGCUCAUCGCAACCUCCACCUCCCAGGUUCAAGUGAUUCUCCUGCCUCAGCCUCCCGAGUAGCUGGGACUACAGGC